GAUGAACGCUGGCGGCGUGCCUAACACAUGCAAGUCGAGCGAUUCUCUUCGGAGAAGAGCGGCGGACGGGUGAGUAACGCGUGGGUAACCUGCCCUGUACACACGGAUAACAUACCGAAAGGUAUGCUAAUACGAGAUAAUAUGCUUUUAUCGCAUGGUAGAAGUAUCAAAGCUCCGGCGGUACAGGAUGGACCCGCGUCUGAUUAGCUAGUUGGUAAGGUAACGGCUUACCAAGGCGACGAUCAGUAGCCGACCUGAGAGGGUGAUCGGCCACAUUGGAACUGAGACACGGUCCAAACUCCUACGGGAGGCAGCAGUGGGGAAUAUUGCACAAUGGGCGAAAGCCUGAUGCAGCAACGCCGCGUGAGCGAUGAAGGCCUUCGGGUCGUAAAGCUCUGUCCUCAAGGAAGAUAAUGACGGUACUCGAGGAGGAAGCCCCGGCUAACUACGUGCCAGCAGCCGCCGUAAUAC
rnacentral:rRNA from 1 species